rnacentral:rRNA from 1 species
UACGUAGGUGGCAAGCGUUGUCCGGAUUUACUGGGCGUAAAGAGCGCGCAGGCGGUCGUUCAAGUCGAGUGUGAAAGCCCCCCGGCUCAACUGGGGAGGGUCAUUCGAUACUGAUCGACUCGAAGGCAGGAGAGGGUAGUGGAAUUUCCGGUGUAGCGGUGAAAUGCGUAGAUAUCGGAAGGAACAUCAGUGGCGAAAGCGGCUUCCUGGACCAGCACCGACGUUCAGGCACGAAAGCGUGGGGAGCAAACAGG